AUGAGGUUUGAUUUUGUCUAGGACGUAUGGAUAGGCUGACUGUUGGGUUAGGACAGCGAGUUCGAAACAAUAUUCAGAUGCAGAACAAUUAAAGAUUAAAGAUUCAAAGACACAAAGUAACAAACGAGGAAUAAUACAACUUUUUAAAACACUGCUUGAAAGUCGACAGAACAAUUUAUCAAAUUUACCGAAAGAAAUUCGUCAAGUGCCAGCUUUUCAUCACUGAGUGAGAUGGAGGCCUAUCAAGUCUGAAGAGCAACUUUCUGAAACACUUCUCAAAAUCGGAAAAGACAAUAUCACUGUGAGAGGUGGCUGCCUCGAGUCUAAAGAGCAAUUUCCUAAAACACUGCUUGAAAGCGUCAUUGCAUCAAACGGAAUGAACAUUGUUAAUAGUCUGGUGCAUCACGGAGUGAGAUGGAAGCCUAUAUAAUGUAAAGAGUGAAGAGCAAUUUUCUAAAACACUGCUUGGAGUCAUUGCAUCAAACCGAAUCGACAUUGUUAAUAGUCCGGUUCAUCACGGAGGAGAUGGAAGCCUAUUUAGUCUAAAGAGUAAAGAGCAAGAUUACUCAAUUAUGAAACUUGACGACUCUUUCUGUUUUUCAAAAGAAAAUGAAACUCAAUUAUUCAAAUAGGAAGAAGAGUUUUAUUGAAGAUAACUAAGAUGUGCUAGCCACCAAAUGCGUUGAGUCCACACACAAGACUUUGAUAUAGAAAAAUUGACUGUUGGUUUGAAACUGUAUCCCAUUGUCAUACGUACUUUGAGAUCGUAUGCAUGUGCACUGAUUACCAAUAUGUGGUCGCAAACAAAUGCACUGGGCAGUACACACGAAUGUAUUUAUAUCAAAUAAGACUGUUGUUUAAAACUAUACCAAAAUGCCAUACACACUGUAAAAGGAUUAUAAGCGGAAGUUCAACAUGGCUCGACCCGUGAAGAACUAUUUAUGUAAUUUGAAUAAUUGCAAACAAAUUCUUGAUUAUAUAUUCAUUAAUGAAUUGAAUAAUAGCUCAGAAAACUAAAUACAAUUGUUAUUUGUAUUUUAACACCCUGUAAUGCAAUCGUUUAUUUGAUGUCCUGGUAUGAAAAAAUUAAAAUAUUUCUUUCGUUUUACGUUAUACUUAUAUUUUUAUUACUGUUAUUGUAUAUUACUGAUUUAUUAUUUAUAUUAUUGUUUUUCACUGAUAUUGUACAUUUUUUAAUAAGCUUUUUUGAAAAUAUGCUACUUCCAUGUUUGGCUAUCUUAUUUGUUAUAAUCAUUAUUUUCUAUAGUAUUUUUAGAUAUUUUUUAACAGGAAAACAAGAUAUCGUGAAGACAAAGGAAAAGUAUUGACAGGGAUUGCCAUGGCUUUUUUUUAAAUAUUUGUUUCGUUAUAGAUAGAUUUAGACCCAUUCCCGCCAUUAGGAAAAAUAGGGUUUUUAUUAGGCUUAGAUAUUUUUAAUGUUA